rnacentral:snRNA from 1 species
GUGCUUUGGCAGCACAUAGACUGAAAUUGGAACAACACAAAGAUUAGCAUGGCCUCUGCUGAAGGAUGACAUGCAACUUCGUGAAGCAUUCCAUAUUGUC